UAUGGUCAGCUCCUCUCAAAUGGAUCAGCUUUCCAGUGUUUGGUGGCAUCACGAGUGUGAUAACUAUCUACGCUUGUGGUUUCCUGCCAGGUAACCUUCAGUGAUGGGGGUUCGCUGGGGCUCAUAAAUGUCUCUCCUCAGUGAAGACAGGCUUUUUAAUGUUUGAUCUCAAAUCAGGUAGGACUACCCGCUGAACUUAA
rnacentral:misc_RNA from 1 species